rnacentral:rRNA from 1 species
GUUAAGGGUAAACCUAAGAAACCCAAAAAAUCGAACGGAGAGAUUCAUUGUCAGCGGUGCUGGCUUCGCGUCGGUGGGCGAUGCUCCGCGGAUGUCCCUCGCCGGAUUCUAUCUUGCGGACACGCUUUCGUGCGCCGAUGUCCGGCGCUUAUCGUCGUGCACUUCUCCCUUAGUAGGACGUCACGACCCGCUGGGUGUCGAUCUACGGCCCGGAUGCGGUGACUGUCGCAUCGCCGGUAAAACGACACGCCGCAAAUUCCUGGCUGCCCGGCGGUACACGCAUGGUAUCAGGCUGCAAACAGCGUGGAGAGGCUAGAGUGUUCCACGCUCUUUGCCACCUCACUUGCGUCGUGUGCGUCGGGACCGUCGCAAGCGCGCGUUAAGGAACUCUGAGGUUCAACGGGACUUAUACGCCGUCCUCUGUCCUCGGCCCGCUGUUGGUACGGUUCACUUCUCCGACAGUCCUGCGAACCCGAGGGGGCACCACUUUCCGUGCGCGCUCCCUCGGGCAUACCAAUCAGCGAUACUACUGUUUUGGGUACUCUUAUGACCCGUCUUGAAACACGGAA